UAGAUAGCUCUACGUGUUCCAUGAUUUAAAUAAAAAGUUCUGUUAUUUCUUGAACAUACUGUGUAUGUAUGUUCAUGCAGAAUGAAGAACAAUUCUGCAAUGCAUAACGAUACGCUUCUUCGGUAAUGGUGUCGAAAAAGAAUAAAAAUGCUACAAAAAUUGCUCUGUACAAACAUGUGUAUCAAGGCGAAUUUAUUACAGGCAUCACGUCAAAGUCAGCUGUUAGUUUCCAGGGCUCUCUGCUUGAGAAAUUAAAUUGCUUAGUAUUUUCCAAGGUCGGUUUAUUAAUUUGUGUGUCUGAGCAAAUUGCUUUGAAGAUGCCAGCACUUGCGAUGCGGUGAUGUGAAUGCAGCACUGCGGCGGCUAGGAGAACUCCAUACAAUAUCAGUGGGCAUUAGAAUCGCUCGUCAAAACUAAAACCAAAAGCAACGAUUGUUUUCCAUACUUCUAGCAGAAAAACCAGAACAGAAAAGUUUAGCUAAUUUACCACCUGAAGAAAAGUUAGUUGAAAAACCACACUAGUAAUUGUCACAAUAUAAAAAGUCGUCACAUUUCCCACAU